rnacentral:sRNA from 1 species
CAACUUCCUGGGUAUCUCCAUUGUGGGCCAAAGCAAUGAGCGGGGAGACGGAGGCAUCUACAUUGGCUCCAUCAUGAAGGGUGGGGCUGUGGCGGCCGACGGGCGCAUUGAGCCAGGGGACAUGCUUUUGCAGGUGAAUGACAUGAACUUUGAGAACAUGAGCAAUGAUGACGCCGUGCGGGUGCUGAGGGACAUUGUGCAUAAGCCUGGCCCCAUUGUGCUGACUGUGGCCAAGUGCUGGGAUCCCUCUCCUCAGGCCUAUUUCACUCUCCCCCGAAGUGAGUGACACUCAGGGAGGGGCCUGAAGUUGGGGGUGGGGGCUGGCUAGGAGACUGGGGCCGGGCCUGUGGUCAUGGGGAAUGGGUGGGAGGAGGGUCCAGGCAGAGGUGGAG